rnacentral:rRNA from 1 species
CCUACGGGAGGCAGCAGUGAGGAAUAUUGGUCAAUGGGCGCGAGCCUGAACCAGCCAAGUCGCGUGAGGGAAGACGGUCCUAUGGAUUGUAAACCUCUUUUGCCGGGGAGCAAAAGACGCCACGCGUGGCGUUCCGAGAGUACCCGAAGAAAAAGCAUCGGCCAACUCCGUGCCAGCAGCCGCGGUAAUACGGAGGAUGCGAGCGUUAUCCGGAUUUAUUGGGUUUAAAGGGUGCGCAGGCGGAAGAUGAAGUCAGCGGUAAAAUUGAGGGGCCCAACCCCUUCGAGCCGUUGAAACUGGUUGUCUUGAGUGGACGAGAAGGAUGAGGAAUGUGUGGUGUAGCGGUGAAAUGCAUAGAUAUCACGCAGAACACCGAUGGCGAAGGCAGCAUGCCGGCGCUCGACUGACGCUCAUGCACGAAAGUGUGGGGAUCGAACAGGAUUAGAUACCCUAGUAGUC